GUUUCUGAGACAAAUUUUAAAGCCAAAAAUAUUUAAAUCUGCACCAUAGAAAAUUAUUAGUUGCGCUGAAUUUUUAAGAAAAACAAGAAGUUUUUUUCUCUUUUCAAGUCCAAUUUGCCAAUACAAUCUAUUACAAACAUGUAAAAGAAAUAUGAAAAGUUAGUGAAAUUUAGAAUAAGCUCUUUAUACUGACAUCAUCUCUCCAGCACAGCAUGUCCUGCACUGCAGCGCUUUAGGCAGCACCCUGAAUUCAGGUAUCAAGGAACUGAAGCCUUCUGUCAGAUGCAAAGUGACUGGAGAGGGAAGGGGAACCUUGUGGCACUUACACACGUGGCUCUGAGCUCUUCUCAGAUGGUCAUUUCCUGAAGUCUUUGGGGUGAUGAUCUGGGCUGUUCUCUCCUGGGAAGGUGAUAGGAAGAUAAAAUAAGGGUGGAUAUUACCCACCUGCCCAAUUGAACGCUGCAGACUAAGCAGGCUUGUUUAAAUAAGUGCCUAGCACUCUACUUUCAAAGGAUCCUUUGUUUCCUCACUCAAGACCUGAAGAGCAUCGUGCGUUGAGUUUGAGGUGUAGAGACCUGCUGCUGCUCCUGACCUUCUGCAGGCUGGUGCUGGCUGACCUGCCCACUGCUGCGCUCUGCAGGGACAACGCUGGUGUCCUCACUGCUCCUCUGCUCCAGGACUGAACAGCCAAAGCCCAGCUCACCUUAUCAGAGCCAUCGUUUGUGAAGUUGCCUUGGAGCUGGUAGAGUUCUGGGUAGGUUUUUACUCAAAUACCAAUGAAGCUGUGCAGGUUUCUGGGGUUGUACUUCAGCCAGACUUCAGCAAUUGCAACAGGACAAUGUGCCAAACCAGCUGUAAGGCUGCCUAAUUACUGAAAGGAUGCUCCCUACCUGUUGUUCCAGCCAGCUCUGAUUGGUAUCUGUGAACUGGGAUUUCCCCUGGUGAGUCUGUGUUCAGGCUUGCUUAGUAUGAACGGAAGGUUGGAGAGAACAGGCAGAUGUCUGGCAAACUGCACAGUCCAGCAAGGGGACUUUUCUCUUACUACAGAAGCAAAUGAUGUUGAGCAGCCAGCAAGCUGUAAAUCAUAAUAUGGGUAAAAUAGCAGUGGGCAUAGACCAGUGCUAAUUCAUGAGCAUUAUUGUUCUUAUA
rnacentral:lncRNA from 1 species